rnacentral:rRNA from 1 species
GACGAACGCUGGCGGCGUGCCUAAUACAUGCAAGUAGAACGAGUUGCGAACGGGUGAGUAACGCGUGGUAACCUGCCUCAUAGCAGGGGAUAACUACUGGAAACGGUAGCUAAUACCGCAUACCAUCAGAUGUGCCCAGAUGGGAUUAGCUGGUGGGUGGGGUAACGGCUCACCAAGGCGACGAUCCCUAGCUGGUCUGAGAGGAUGACCAGCCACACUGGAACUGAGACACGGUCCAGACUCCUACGGGAGGCAGCAGUGGGGAAUAUUGCACAAUGGGCGAAAGCCUGAUCCAGCCAUGCCGCGUGUAUGAAGAAGGCUUUCGGGUUGUAAAGUACUUUCAGCGGGGAGGCGUUACCCGCAGAGGAAGCACCGGCUAACUCCGUGCCAGCAGCCGCGGUAAUUC